AGAAAAAAAACAGAGGAAUUGAUAGAGAUGCGCUAGAAACAGAGCCCACGAUCCCUCUCAUCUCUCCCAAAUCGACGCCACCUACCGCCUCCUCUCCCUCCUUGGAUCCACCUCAUCGCCGGCCCUCGCCCACCCCUUCUCCCACCUCGCACCUCCAGCGGCUGUCGGAUCCGCCCGCAUCCCCCACCCAUCCAUCCCUCUCACGGCCCAUCCCAGUCUCUCUCUCUUAGUGCGGCCUCUCGCUGCGCCAUCUACAGCGGAAGUUUCAGUCGACGUCUGGCCAAUCCUGCCACCACGAAGCACAACCCGAUGCUCCUCUCACACUGCAGCGCCCUCCCAUUGGACUAGAUCCGGCGCUCACGGCCACCAAAGAUCAGCGGCGACCUUCCCCAUGGCUAGGGUUGCCGGUGUCUGCUCCGACGCCGGUGGUCAUGCCGCCCUCCUCUCGUCCGGUGAGUACAUCCCCUCCCCUAGUUUCAUCCUCUCUCGCUGCCCAUUUCUCUAACCUUUGUUCUUCUCUUCUCCUAUAGACCUGUAGGGAGGAAUGGCCAUUGUACAACCUUGGUGCUGCUUGGGACGAAGCAGCCAUGGAGAUUCCUCCUCCUCAUCUGGCUUCAGGUGGGUUGGUCCACUCCUCUUUGUUCCCAAGUCCUUAAUCUUCUGCAGUUAAGACUGGCGCUUACUACCUCCCUCCUUCCGUUUCUUAGUCACUAAACACGCAUCUAGUUUUUCUUUGGUUCACUGAUAUGCUUCGUGUUCAUUGCGAUGGAUGUGCCCUCACAACCAAAAGGGUCAACAUAGCUCGGGGGAGAUUACUUAAUAACCUAGGGCAGGAUAAAACUAUGAAUCUAAAUAGGACACACCUACAGUACGGCACCAAUAUGGCGGCAAGGCAUUAGCAUGUUCCCAUAUCUCGCUUAUUAAUCCUAGUCUUUUUGUAUGUUACAAUAGUAGUUAUUCUUAGGUAGAUUUUUAAUGAUUGAUCGCUAAUAGGAGUAGCUUUCCGUUGCUUUUUUGCAAAGCAAAUAGAGAGAUACUACGUAGUUUUUUACCUUUUCAAGCAAAGAAGGGAGAGAACAUGGGAGGACGAUUGGCACAGGGGAGCACAUCUCAGCUUUCCCUUCCUUUUUUGAAGCUAACGGAGAGAUCUGACUGCAGUUUUUUCUCUCUUAAACAAAUGAGGGAGAGACCAUGGGGAGAACGACUAUGUUCUACACAGCGAUAAGCCGUCCAGUCAUGCUUUGGGCUUAUCUUCACUGUAAUUACUCUGACAAAAUUCCUAUAAUCUCAGUAGUAAUUAGGUAGGGACACAUAUGUUAUGUUAUUUUCUAUUUAAGGGAGGAGAAUCUUCUAGUUUGGCCUUUUGUAAGCACCGAACUAACAACAAUAGCAAUGAAUAUUACGAAUUAAUCUACUACUACAAAUAUUUCAUUACUCUCAUAGUUGGUAUAAUCAGAUUUUAUAGUACAAAUAUUUAGCAUGAAUGUAACACGGGAACAGAUUUGUCACAUCCACAUGUAUUUGCAUGAGUACUACAAUUUUCUAUGUCUGAAGUCUGAACUAAUUAAGUAACGGCUGAUGAUUUCACUGAAAUACUUCUUUCUUUCUAUUUUUUAUUUUCCUGGUGCACCGUUUUGCUCUUUGAGAGGCACUAUUAGAGCCCUCCAUAUUAAUUCUAGAAGAGAGUUACAAAGAACCAUCGGUUGUGUUAGCCAAUGAAAUGUAAGGCGUUACAUUGCAUAUUGGUUUGAGAGAGAGUACGGUUCAUUACUAUAGACCUGUGUGUGACAAAAGAAAUAUAUUAAUUCUAGUGGACAUUGUUUUCCUACAGAAACGAGCUAGAUCCAUGUGGGAUGUGACAAUGGAAGUGCUGAGCAAAGAAGUGGUUUGGUGGGGAUGGCAUGCUUAAUUUGCUCUACUUUAAAUUAUCAUGCUCCUUCUCUCCUUUUACUUAUUAUAUCUCUCCCUAAAGCUAGAAAGACACCAUGGCAUGCAAAUUUGAUGCUGUUAACCUAUUUUUUUUCUAAAUGUCCCAACAGAAGAUAAGAUUUGCAUCACUGCUUUUUUACUUAUGUACAUUAUGAAAAAUGAUACUGCCUAUGCACAUAUUCAGGUUCCAGCCAUAUUCAUCGUAAGCAUAAGUUUUUUUUGAAGGGCUAUCUUUCGAGCAUAUGUUCAGCUUAGUUUGAUAUCUAAGUAAGGAUAAAACUGAUGGUUAUUACGUGUUAUGCCUUCUUUAAAGAAGUUCAAGUUUGAUAUCGUUAAAAUUUAACAAGCAUGGUAGAAUCUGAAUGUCACAUUUGUAGAUUCUCACUUUUUGGAUUAAAUUGUAAUCAGUUUUGGUGUGGAAACUCAUUGACAAAAAUGUGUAUUUUCAAAUUUUAGUCCGAAGUGUCAAUACUAGAAAGAGAACGGUGAUCUCGAUCUUCAAUCGAAAUGAGUAACUCGAGCAUUAGGCUUUUUAAACUGAAACCUACAUUAAGGUAAUCAUAUAUGUUGUACAACAUCAUUUGUUUAGAUGUCAUACUUCAAGCUAACAACCCAUGUUCUCUGUGUUAUAAAUCAUUUCCAUCUGAUUUCAUAAACUUAUAUUCCACCAUAUAAUGAAGCUCAUAUUUUCAAAAAGCUGUAGGUUUGUUCCAAAGCAUGGUGAGCAGAUCACAUCUAGGUUUGUAUAUUUAUUGUUGGAUGACUGAAACCAAUUAGAGCUAAAUGUUUUGGUUCAAUUUCAGAUGACGAAAACCAUUUCAGUUCAGUUUCCUAACUAACUGGAGAAUAGAAGAGAAGUGGUAUUGUCACUUACAUUGCCCUUUGAAUGCACAACAUCACAUUGGAUACUGCUCACAUAAUUUUAUUGAGCCUUGUUAUUCUGGAGGUUGUGUCGUUUAUUGUGGCAUCAAGAUUAGUCAUCAAUGACAACUAACAUUCCUGCUUGUAUCGUUUCAGUGCAUUGUGUGUUAAUCGUUCAUUUUGUUGUUUUCUUUGUAGAUUCAAAAGAUAUAUGGAUGAUUAUAUGGGUGCGUUGCAAGUAUACUUCAAUGAUGAUGAUGAUGUUCUGGUCCAUGACGAUGACGAUAGAUGCCUUCAGUAUUAGUUAACUUGUGGGGAUGUUGUUCCUGUUGGAUGAUUUUCUUCAGCUAACUUUUAGUUAAGUUGUAGGAGUGUUGACGGAUGGUUUAAGUUUAAUCUUCGUUGUAAAGAUUUUUUUAUUAUGCAUCACAUUUGGAUGAUGUUCUGCCUGUAAUAUCAACUAUUGUAAUCCAACAGUUUUAUUCAAUAUAUGGGUUCCUCCUCUCAUGAGUAU
rnacentral:lncRNA from 1 species